UCUGCCUGAGUGUAGAGCAAAAAGGGCGCUUUUCCACCACUAUCUAUGCACAGGCUAGAGUGGGAUGGCUCAAUUUGAUUAUCCAGUUUGUAGUUGUAUGCUACCCCCACCCACCCACACACACUCAGACUCUCAUACCCAUACAUGCCUGCAUUUACACAUACAUGAGAAUCAGAACUACUUUUCCUACAUUUUUACCUCUUUAGGCAUAAAUUUUAAGCAGUAGUGCACUGAAUACUGCUCCUACUAGUGCAUAAUUACUAUAGUUUCACAAAUUUUUAAAGGUGUUUUGCAUCACGUUGAUAGGUUGAAAUUGGUCAUGGUAGGAUUAUUUACAGAUGGCUAAUCAACAAAUGGUACAAUUCACAGCUUGUCCUCCAGGUAGGCAGUUAAGCUUUUACCAGCACAUCAUUAGACUCUAAGCAUCAGGAAGGGUCUCUCCUUCUUUCCUUUAGCACUUGUAAUACUUAUCAUGACAUCAAGCAGCACACAAAAAAGCAGUAUUUAGGGAGUAUUUAGAGAGUGACCACUAUUUAGGUUAUAUUAAGUAACUUAAAUUAAGUAACCCAUAUUAAGGUAGUGUUUAGGGAGUAACCACUAUUUAGCAGUAGUUAGGGAUUGGUUGCUCCCUAAAUACUUCUUAAAUAAUGCUUUCUUUGUGCUGCUUGAUGCCAUGAGUUUAGCCUAGAUAGAUAAAUAAAUUUGUGGAAAGGAAAGACACUUUCUGCUUUGCACUGAGGCACCAGUUUCUUCAAGAGUUCCCAAGAGAAGUAUCCUUUGCUGAUGCUCCCAUGUGGUUUUGUGUAGAACAAUGAUCCAUAGCCAGGAUGGCCACAGACAUCACACUGGCUGUUCUGAGAAGAAUGAAUGACAAGAGACAAAGAAUGAAAGGAAGGCAAAGAUUCUGGGAAGAUGAUGUUAGGACUCAGAAAACAACACCCCAAAAUAAAAGCCUCAGAAGCAAUAGUUUUUCUCUGAUCUUUUCCUGCACUCCUGUCUCUCGGUUCAA